UUGGAGGGGGUCAUUGAUGUCUUCCACCAGUACUCAGCCCAGGAGGGGCAUCAGGACACCCUUUCCAAGGGUGAGAUGAAGAAGCUGAUGAUGGGGAACUUCCAAACUGCCUCAAGAACACCAAAGAUCAAGCUACCAUUGACAAGAUAUUCUGAGACCUGGAUGCUGAUAAACAUGGAGUGCUCCCCUUGGAUGAAUUUUUGGUCCUGUUGGGCCACGUGCUGGUGACCAGGUAUAAGAAUAUCCACAAAGAGUAGAAAGCUCUGAGGGGCUUUUCUCCAGCAGCGUUCCCAAGAAGACUUUUCCUUCGGAUCACCAAAGCCCAGCCUUACAUGAGGGAAAUGAGAGUUAAAUGUAUUCUUGAAAGUUCUUAA